rnacentral:rRNA from 1 species
CCUACGGGAGGCAGCAGUGGGGGAUAUUGCACAAUGGGGGAAACCCUGAUGCAGCGACGCCGCGUGAGUGAAGAAGUAUUUCGGUAUGUAAAGCUCUGUCAGCAGGGAAGAAAAUGACGGUACCUGCUUAAGAAGCCCCGGCUAACUACGUGCCAGCAGCCGCGGUAAUACGUAGGGGGCAAGCGGUAUCCGGAUUUACUGGGUGGAAAGGGAGCGUAGACGGCAGCGCAGGUCUGGAGUGAAAUGCCGGGGCUCAACCCCGGGACUGCUUUGGAAACUGUGCAGCUGGAGUGCAGGAGAGGUAAGCGGAAUUCCUGGUGUAGCGGUGAAAUGCGUAGAUAUUAGGAGGAACACCAGUGGCGAAGGCGGCUUACUGGACUGUAACUGACGUUGAGGCUCGAAAGCGUGGGGAGCAAACAGGAUUAGAUACCCUAGUAGUC